AUUGAACGCUGGCGGCAUGCCUUACACAUGCAAGUCGAACGGUAACAGGUCUUCGGAUGCUGACGAGUGGCGCACGGGUGAGUAAUACAUCGGAACGUGCCCGAUCGUGGGGGAUAACGGGGCGAAAGCUUUGCUAAUACCGCAUACGAUCUACGGAUGAAAGCAGGGGACCGCAAGGCCUUGCGCGGACGGAGCGGCCGAUGGCAGAUUAGGUAGUUGGUGGGAUAAAAGCUUACCAAGCCGACGAUCUGUAGCUGGUCUGAGAGGACGACCAGCCACACUGGGACUGAGACACGGCCCAGACUCCUACGGGAGGCAGCAGUGGGGAAUUUUGGACAAUGGGCGAAAGCCUGAUCCAGCCAUGCCGCGUGCAGGAUGAAGGCCUUCGGGUUGUAAACUGCUUUUGUACGGAACGAAAAGACUCUUUCUAAUAAAGAGGGUCCAUGACGGUACCGUAAGAAUAAGCACCGGCUAACUACGUG
rnacentral:rRNA from 1 species